CGGACGGGUGAGUAACACGUGGGUAACCUACCUAUAAGACUGGGAUAACUUCGGGAAACCGGAGCUAAUACCGGAUAAUAUUUCGAACCGCAUGGUUCGAUAGUGAAAGAUGGUUUUGCUAUCACUUAUAGAUGGACCCGCGCCGUAUUAGCUAGUUGGUAAGGUAACGGCUUACCAAGGCGACGAUACGUAGCCGACCUGAGAGGGUGAUCGGCCACACUGGAACUGAGACACGGUCCAGACUCCUACGGGAGGCAGCAGGC
rnacentral:rRNA from 1 species